UAUACGAAGAAAAUACGGCCUCCCACAGAGAUGGACUUGGAGAAAAGAGGACCUCGCAGAUCCUCUGAAAGGAUCUUGGGACACUUUGGCCUACCAAGUGGUCCUUGUUCCACACUUUGAGAACCGCUUCUGUCGAGCAUUCCCAUCAUCCCAGAAGGCGCCCUCAGAUGGAACGACUCUUCUGAUCUCCUUCAACAUAAAUUAAUGUUACCUAUCCUUGACCUUCAUGUACUUGGAAUCAUAAGGUAACAUCUUGUCUCUACCUAAAGGAAACAAAAGAAGACUACUUUCUUCCAGGGAAUCUGUGUGCAGAAGUUUGGAAGGGAUAUUUUGAUGUGUGUAGUUGUGCUGCCUCAGUUUGCAUUUUGGAGUCUCACACCACUGUUGCUGGUCUGCGGUCCAUCUCGGCUUCCAAUUUCACCAUCUGCUGCAUCUCCUUCGCCUGUAACAUCAGAAACGUGGCCUCACACAUUGAAAUCCUCUCAUCAAGAUCCAUCGUUUUGGUCCUGUUUCUCUGGAGAACCUGAAAUAAUGCAGCCCUCCCAAGAUAACUACAUGGAAUUGGCCUACAAAUGUCCAUCUGAUAAUUUCACAAGUAAUCAGAGAUGUUAAAUAUUUGCCUAUGGGGAAAAUUAUCAACAAGGGCUUCUAGAAGUUUCCUAGAAAUACUGUCUCUGUGGUUCCUGAGCCUAUUUCCUGUCCAGAAGUGUCACUGGGUACGUCGGCAAUGUCACUCUGCAACAGAAAUAUGGAUAAAGUUCCAAACAAAUGCUGCCUCAUUGCAUGUUCUUUAUUUUACUGAAUCCAGACACUCUGCACCUCUCAACUUUUUCCCUUCACCUUCUCAGACUUCUUCUCUCCAAACAGAUCUCUGCUUGACGGGAAUAAAGACUAGGUGGUGGCCUUAGGUUUAAGGCAAAAGAUUAGCCAAAGAAAGAAGAUCUGAACACUUCAGAAGCCGAGCGUACCUUCUCUUUUUCUAGCUACUGGAGAAACUGCUGCUUCCACUUCAAACUGAGGAGUUUGGUAAAGGGAACAUUUAAAGACAAAAACAAAACAAACAAACAAACAAAAAAAGGCAUAAAUCUAUAUCGGAGUGGAAAAAGUUGGGAUGCAAGGCUGGUAAAAUAAAAAAGAAACAAUGAGUGUUAUUUUUAUUAAUUUACUGUUUCGGGUUAACUGGGAAGGUAGAAUAAUGUACCCCACAAAGACACACUGAAGUUAUAACUCCUGGUCCUGAGAGUGAACUUAUUUCUAAACAGGAUCUCCAAAGAACCUAUUAAGACAAGGCCAAACUGAAUCAACGUGCACCCUAAUCCAGUAUGACUGGAGUCCCUAUAAGCUGAGGAAGUUUGGACAGGGAAUAGAAGCCAUGGGAGAAGACAGAAAGAAACAGAUCGCCAUGUGACAAAGGCAGAGACUGAACAUCACAGACUGCUGAAGGCAUGGCCUGGUGAUAACUUAAUUUUGGAUUUUCAGCUUCCAGACUGUGAGCCAAUAAAUUCUUGUUGUUUAAGCCAAUCAGUUCUUGGUAUCUUGUUAUGGCAGCCCUGGCAAACUAAGACAGCUGGUACUCAGUGUUGUAUAAAAGAGUCUAUAUUUAAACUUUCCUAAGAGCAUCAUGGAUGUUUUCCAUUUCAUUUCUACGGGGUAGGGGCUCCAGAUGUGAGUUAAGCCUCUGGUGAUGAAGUAGGUUCUCAGACUGGCCACAUUCUAUUAGAUGUGCUACUGUACUGAAGACCCUUGAAACUAAUGGUUGAGUCAGUAAGUUCAAUUUUUAAAAAACCCUCUUUAAACUUGUUAUAUUAAUUUAUGACUUUGUUUUCCUUCUAUAAUCACUGUUUUUAUAACCAAAACCCCCCAACUCAGCUGUUUUUAAUCAACCUUGUCUACUUACAGUUUCUAUGCCCAUAGCUCUCAUUUGGUCUGCUCUCUUUUCUGUAACUGAAAGAAAUUUCUUUGGAUCUGACAGAGCGUCCACAAUAUCUGAAAGGAAAUUAGUGGGCUGUUAAAAUGCUGCUUUAGUUCACAGAAAUGUUGCUAUAUUAGGUUACUUUCUUGGGGUAGAGUAGGAAUAUGUUGGAAGUAAA